CCUACGGGGGGCAGCAGUGGGGAAUAUUGCACAAUGGGGGAAACCCUGAUGCAGCGACGCCGCGUGAGUGAAGAAGUAAUUCGGGAUGUAAAGCUCUAUCAGCAGGGAAGAAAAGGACGGUACCUGAGGAAGAAGCCCCGGCUAACGACGUGCCAGCAGCCGCGGUAAUACGUAGGGGGCAAGCGUUAUCCGGAUUUACUGGGUGUCAAGGGAGCGUAGACGGCAGUGCACGUCUGGAGUGAAAGGCGGGGGCUCCCCCCCCGGACUGCUCUGGAAACUGUACGGCUGGAGUGCAGGAGAGGUAAGUGCAAUUCCUCGUGUAGCGGUGAAAUGCGUCGAUAUUAGGAGGAACCCCAGUGGCGAAGGCGGCUUACUGGACUGUAACUGACGUUGAGGCUCGAAAGCGUGGGGAGCAAACCGGAUUAGAUACCCCUGUAGUC
rnacentral:rRNA from 1 species